CGGAGGGGCUGCACUGCACCGAGCUUGCACAGGGCGAGGCGGGGGCAGGACCUGGGACCCAGCCACCCCGGAGGAAACCGGAGAGGAAACCAGCUUGGUCUUGCUCUCUGCCUCGUCCCAAUCCCCGGCUCUUACCAAAUGCAGAUCCGUUGGCUGAAUGCCUUUUAGUCUGCAUACAUGCAUCUCAUACCGCACAGCCCAAAUUUCUACAACUUGUCCAGGUGCAGUCUCCUCAGAACUACAAAGCAAGAAAAGAUCACCUUUGGGCUCAGGAACUCACAGUCGUUCUCCCUCUCCCGGAAGGCACAAUGACCAGGACAGUACCGAGCUUUACAGCCAUAUUGAACUCACCAUCAACUCAGCACAUUCAACUCAAUCAGUCAAAAUCGUCUUUUCCUGCUGGUAAAUAACACUGAAAUUGUGGGAAGAUGGGAUGGUAAGAACAAAGUCUGUCUCUGGAAGCACGGGCGCUGUCUCUGAAGACAAAUUGAUCGUAACACAAGCAGACCCGGUGGAACGACCUCCAUGCUGAACCCUCAGCUCCCCCUGCAUUUGGACCAUGGCCUGAUGGAAGGUGCGAGAAACCCUGUGACCACGUUACAGCACAGGGGCAGCUUGGCCAGGCCACCCCUUGGGCCUAAUUUUUCUCCCUGGCCAAAGGGGUCAGACUAUUCCAGUGCUGUCUGCUCCCUGGCCUCCAGAGUAAUCAAACACACAUGUUUGGCGCUCCACUAAUCAGGGAAUGAAAUAA
rnacentral:lncRNA from 1 species